rnacentral:rRNA from 1 species
CCUACGGGGGGCAGCAGUGGGGAAUAUUGCACAAUGGGGGAAACCCUGAUGCAGCGACGCCGCGUGAGUGAAGAAGUAUUUCGGUAUGUAAAGCUCUAUCAGCAGGGAAGAAAAAAGACGGUACCUGACUAAGAAGCCCCGGCUAACUACGUGCCCGCAGCCGCGGUAAUACGUAGGGGGCAAGCGUUAUCCGGAUUUACUGGGGGUAAAGGGAGCGUAGACGGCGCGGCACGUCUGAAGUGAAAGGGAGGGGCUUAACCCCUGAACUGCUUUGGAAACUGCCAUGCUAGAGUGCUGGAGAGGUAAGUGGAAUUCCUAGUGUAGCGGUGAAAUGCGUAGAUAUUAGGAGGAACACCAGUGGCGAAGGCGGCUUACUGGACAGUAACUGACGUUGAGGCUCGAAAGCGUGGGGAGCAAACAGGAUUAGAUACCCCAGUAGUC